GACGAACGCUGGCGGCGUGCCUAAUACAUGCAAGUCGAGCGGGCCUCCGGAGAUGCUUGCACCUCCGGAAGGCCAGCGGCGGACGGGUGAGUAACACGUGGGCAACCUGCCUUUGAGGCCGGGAUAACACCGGGAAACCGGUGCUAAUACCGGAUACGUCCUCUUUCGCGCCUGCGAGAGGGGAGAAAGACGGUCUUUAAGGCCGUCGCUCAAAGAGGGGCCCGCGGCGCAUUAGCUGGUUGGUGGGGUAAGGGCCUACCAAGGCGACGAUGCGUUGCCGAGCUGAGAGGGUGAUCGGCCACGCUGGGACUGAGGCACGGCCCAGACUCCUGCGGGAGGGAGCAGUAGGGAAUCAUCCGCAAUGGGCGAAAGCCUGACGGUGCAACGACGCGUGGGUGAGGAAGGUUUUCGGAUCGUAAAGCUCUGUUGUGAGGGAAGAACAGCUUCCGGAGGAAAUGCCGGAGGUUUGCCGGUACCUCACCAGAAAGCCCCGGCUAACUACGUGCCAGCCGCCGCCGUAAGAC
rnacentral:rRNA from 1 species